rnacentral:rRNA from 1 species
UACAGAGGGUGCAAGCGUUGUUCGGAAUUACUGGGCGUAAAGCGCGUGUAGGCGGUCUCGUAAGUCGGGUGUGAAAGCCCUGGGCUCAACCCAGGAAGUGCACUCGAAACUGCGAGGCUAGAGUACUGGAGAGGUUGGUGGAAUUCUCGGUGUAGAGGUGAAAUUCGUAGAUAUCGAGAGGAACACCGGUGGCGAAGGCGGCCAACUGGACAGAUACUGACGCUGAGACUCGAAAGCGUGGGGAGCAAACAGG